GGGCAGUUUUUAUCAAUAUUAAUUGGGUCAGAGUUUAUUGUGUGGACAUUUUGUGGGGUGAGGAUUUACUGAUACAAAUCUGAUUGCUAAAUUACAAGCUUCAUGAGUCUUGAUUUUAACAGAUUCUGGGAGUUGUGACUAUAACCACAGGGGGUGGAUGGCUGAAUGGGGCUGGCGUGGUGGCAACCUGCGCCAUGGGAACUAGAAGUAUGGUCACUUCUAGGGAUAGCAACAGCACCUAGAUAGCCGCAGGGCUCAGAGAGUAGCGGGCAGCAGCAUGGGAUGGACAUUGGAAACCACAGAAACAAUAGCAACAAAACGUUGAAAGCUGUGAAGUAAACAACUCAAGUAGCAUCUGCCUUAGCAGAUUUGAGAAACAAGUGUUGGUAUCAGGAACCCCUUUUACCUCCGAACCCAGCGAUGACAGCGACCCGCACAUCUGUUGCCAUGGCAACGGCCAUACAUUCCCAGCCUCCACUGGUUUAGCUCCUACCUUUACCUGCAGUUACAUCACGGUUUAAAUAAAAAGCGGCCCCUUCCUG